rnacentral:rRNA from 1 species
CGCCGCGGUAACACCGGCGGCUCGAGUGGUAACCGUUAUUAUUGGGUCUAAAGGGUCUGUAGCCGGCCGGAUAAGUCUCUUGAGAAAUCUGGCAGCUUAACUGUCAGGCUUUCAGGAGAUACUGUCUGGCUCGAGGCCGGGAGAGGUGAGAGGUACUUCAGGGGUAGGGGUGAAAUCUUGUAAUCCUUGAAGGACCACCAGUGGCGAAGGCGUCUCACCAGAACGGACCUGACGGCAAGGGACGAAAGCUAGGGGCACGAACCGGAUUAGAUACCCGGGUAGUCCUAGCCGUAAACGAUACUCGCUAGGUGUCGGCCACGGUGCGACCGUUGUCGGUGCCGUAG